GCAGGCUGCAACUCGCCUGUAUGAAGUCGGAAUUGCUAGUAAUCGCGGAUCAGCAUGCCGCGGUGAAUACGUUCCCGGGCCUUGUACACACCGCCCGUCACACCAUGUGAGUCGGGAACACCCGAAGUCCGUAGUCUAACCGCAAGGAGGGCGCGGCCGAAGGUGGGCUUGAUAAUUGGGGUGAAGUCGUAACAAGGUAGC
rnacentral:rRNA from 1 species